rnacentral:rRNA from 1 species
AUUGAACGCUGGCGGCAUGCCUUACACAUGCAAGUCGAACGGUAACAGGUCUUUCGGGAUGCUGACGAGUGGCGAACGGGUGAGUAAUACAUCGGAACGUGCCUAGUAGUGGGGGAUAACUACUCGAAAGAGUGGCUAAUACCGCAUGACAUCUAAGGAUAAAAGCAGGGGACCUUCGGGCCUUGUGCUACUAGAGCGGCCGAUGGCAGAUUAGGUAGUUGGUGGGAUAAAAGCUUACCAAGCCAACGAUCUGUAGCUGGUCUGAGAGGACGAUCAGCCACACUGGGACUGAGACACGGCCCAGACUCCUACGGGAGGCAGCAGUGGGGAAUUUUGGACAAUGGGCGCAAGCCUGAUCCAGCAGUGCCGCGUGCAGGAUGAAGGCCUUCGGGUUGUAAACUGCUUUUGUACGGAACGAAAAGCUCUGGGCUAAUACCUCGGAGUCAUGACGGUACCGGCAUAAGAAGCACCGGCUAACUACGUGCCAGCCGCCGCGGUAACAC